rnacentral:rRNA from 1 species
UACAGAGGGUGCUAACGUUGUUCGGAAUCACUGGGCUUAAAGCGCACGUAGGCGGCUAGGCAAGUGCGAUGUGAAAGCCCCCGGCCCAACCGGGGAACUGCACCGUAGACUGCCUGGCUUGAGAGCGGUAGGGGAGACUAGAACUCCUGGUGGAGCGGUGAAAUGCGUAGAUAUCAGGAGGAAUACCGGUGGCGAAGGCGAGUCUCUGGUCCGCUUCUGACGCUCAUGUGCGAAAGCUAGGGGAGCAAACAGG